UUGCUAUGAUGAUUUCUAGAAUGUUUGAAAGCUCCUAUGUAAUUGUUUUAUGAAAUUUUAAUCCUGAGCGGUUACCUGAGCAA